AACAAUUCUAUGUGGGUUCCGGCUACUGUCUCAUGGACAUGUGAUAACCGCAGUCGGCGAAAAUAAUUUGUGAACAACUGAGCAACUUAGGCAGAAGCUGUCUCACUUGUGCCAAAAGAAAGACUUGAUUGUUAAACUGGAUAUUGACUCUAAAGACAUCCCAGCUACGUGAAGCUAAGGACAUAACGUGCAGUUCCAGAUUUCAGUCAAAACUCACAUAGCAGUCACAGAAAACAUGGGCAAACAUGGGCUUGAUCUUUUCCUAACUUCAAUACUUGAUAUUGCGUAAACGAUGGCAGAAAGAGAUCCAGCUACUGCAAUAGCGCUAAAAUGGAAAACAACGCAAUUUUCUGUUGCUGGAACCACCUUAGGUCCAAAGAGGGAAAUUAUAUUAGACCUGGAGUUCAUCUCCACAUAGGCAAGCUACAGUGGUUCAUGCAGAAGGCCUACCCCUGCCCUUAUCCUCAAAAGUUGGCUUAGGGGUCAUUCUUUUCCUAGGUGAAUUGGGUAGUCCGAAGAAGUAAUGGCAGUGAUCUGAUUGUGGUUGUUGGGAUGGAUGCCUGUCAAGCGUUCGAUGUUUUUGAGGAGUUGAGGAGCAACGUACAAGUGGAAUUUUUAUGUUUUUUACGGCUCGACAGUUUUUUGGCAAAGAAAGCGGGAACGGUGUUGUGUGCGGCGCUGUUAAAGAGCAAAACGACGGCCUCAAAAGCUCCUCCACCAAUGAGGUUUAUCAAAUACGCAAUGGGGAUGUGGGUCGCCUUUGUCUAUUGGUUUUGUGGGUAAGUUCUGCUGAAUAGUUGGGAUUUCGGAAGCGGGUCUGUUAAAGAUCUGCUGAAUCGUUGGGUUUUGUGGGUGAGUUCCACUGAAUUAGUGGCCGAAGAGAAUGGUAAGUCCAAGAAGAAGAAGACGAAGAAAGAGAAGCCCUUGAGGGUUUUCACUGCGGUGGCUCCUUGUUAUGGGUGUGGGGCUCCGUUGCAGAUUCGGAUUCGGAUGCUCCGGGCUAUUUCCACCAAAGCUUAAGAUUUUGUUAUCGCAACCUUUAAGAGAAAACACCGCCAGCUUAGAACUGUACUAUGCGGGCGGUGCCGGCUACUGUCUCAUGGGCACAUGAUAACUACAGUCGGUGGAAAUGGAGGUUAUCCCGGCGGAAAACAGUUUGUGACAGCUGAACAACAUAAUAAACCGAGAUAUACCUUGGCCCAAGGUACUUGAGGAGAUGAGCUAUGACGCGUAUGAUUUGGUUGACAAAGACAUUAGUUGCUGCUUUAGAUGAAAACCCAGGAGCUGUACACUAAAAAGAGGCAUGUGGAUGCUUUUGAUCUGCAUACUGAUCCUAAUUCAGAUGCUCGGGGAAGAAUGAUUGAUAAUGUAUCUUGUAAAUAUCAGUCUUUUUCAAAUGGUUAGUUCCCUUUCAGAUUAGAAUUGUUUUUUCUUUUUUCUUAUUUCGUUUCAUUUUUUGUUUUUCUUGUUGGAGGUGGGUUCACCAUAUCACCUCAAUAAGCUUUUUCGCUGAUGCCCCUGCAAUUGUUACAUUACCAAAUGCUUCUUUGAGGUGUCUAGCUGUUUUAACAACAACAUAGGUUUUCUGAAUAAUCCUCCAAAUAGUUUUUCACCA